AUGACAUACUCCAUCACUGCGGCAUCACAAGGCAGUGUGAUCUUUCCUUUGCUUGCGAAACCAAACUCUUCCUGGGACACUCUUAGGAGCUCUCCGAAGACCAUCGUGCUGAGGUACACCAACGGGACCUCGAAACGGCUUCCGUCGGCCGUGUACGUGAUGCAGUGGCCCUUUACCACUCCAGAGGUGCAGCAUUCUUCAUCUUCUUUGGCUGUCACUGUGAGCCUCUUCCUCCCAAGUGCCGCCACCCUUUGCCACUUCUUUCCCAGUUGA
rnacentral:rRNA from 1 species